UGCUCCCCUGGCAGCUGGGCUGGACGGGCAGCGCUGAGAGGAGAGGUCUCUGCCAGGAGAGGGUCCCACACUGACCCUGGAUGGCCUCUGGAUGAUGCUGAGCUCGGGGAGGGGACAGCCACUGCUGCCCGGGCAGGGGGAGCAGCUCGAGGCUCUGCAGGUGAAGAACCCUCCGAGAACACCCCAAAAUUCCCACCGAGGCCGUGGCUGACACCCCUCAGUGGGGUCCAGGACUUGGCCCGGAUGAGAGGGGUCCUGGAAAAGCAGCUCCAAAGCUUCUCCUUCCUUUUGUAAUUCCAGAGCAAGGAAUCAGCGGUUCUGGUCCCUCCUUCCCCCAUUCGUUAUUAUUUGGUCAGCAGUGAUUAGUGAUAACAAAGCCUUUAUGAGCUAGAGAAAGGGGAGGGGUGAACGCAGUGGCUUUUCUUUGUCUAAAAGCAUUAAAAACAUCGAAUGGUGCCUUUCUUUACCAACCCCCCGGACUGUAAGGAAACGUUUCUCCCUGAGGCAUCUGGAAGGAAGGAAGCGCUUCCAGAUAAGCAGAAUCAGCAGUGCAGAAACCGAGAGGGAGAUGAUGAUUCCUGCACGUUUCACCACCUGGGAAAGGAGCAGUGGGAGGCUUUGACCCCCACGUCUGUGAGGGGUUUGGGGGGCAGCUGCUACAGAGGGCUGAGACUCAGAGCCCCCCUGGGUGCCCGAGGAUUCCUGCUGGGUGCCCCCGCUGGGGUCGGGGCUGGGGCCGGGGUUCAGCCCCGCAGCCCCUGGAGCCCCUGGAUGCUCCUGAGCCCUGAGCCCCAGGCGUGGUGAGGCAGCACAGCACACCAGCGAGGAUCUCUUGCCCAGCUGAGGGUUCUGUUAUUUAGCACUGGGUGUUUGCAAUUCACAAACAGCUUCCUGGCCGUUUUUCCUGUGUGUCUUUUUCACUGACUGAGUUUUACCUGGAAGCUUUUCUACUUCCAGUCCUACGGUGAACUAAUAAAGAUGUUUUACAAUAUAAUUUCUGGUCGUGCCUCUUCUCUCUUCCAGUGCAUCCCUCUGUUUCCAGCAGGACAGAUUCAGUGGCUCACACAAGUACAGGAGCAGCUGCUCUGGGGCUGUUCUCGGGCUCACAAGGCACAGGACAGGACAGGACAGGACAGGACAGGACAGGACAGGACAGGACAGGAGCCCUCCAUGGGCACUGCAAACCCCAUUACAGGACAUUUUCCAAGGGAACCUGGCCCCAGGUGCUUCGGGAAUGACCUGGACACAAACCCUACCCCUGCCCAAAGCUCAGCUGCUCACAGGGCAGGGCUGGGCACAGAGCUGGGUGCAGGAUCCUCUCUCCUCCCCCAUCCCUGCUGCUCAGAGAUUCCUCCAGGGAUGCAUUUCCUGCGGUAUUUUAGGAUGUGGCGCCUCCUUGGCUCCUGUUCCCUCUUCCCUUCAACAACAGCUCCAGCUCCAGCCUUCCAACCUGAUUAUUCCCCCUUUGGUCCUGCCCAGCCGCAGGGGCAUCAAACCCGGAGCAGAUGGUAGCCCAGAAAAGUCAGGUGGCAUUUGCCUUUUCCUGUUUCCCACUUUAGAGCAGAAAGAAAUCCGAUCAGUCAAAUCCAAUUCCAGCUGGGCCCUAAGUCUGGAAAACGGAUUAUGCAGAAUGCCUGACAUCAACAGCCUGAUGUGAGUGUUGAAUGGAGUUUGGGAGGAGAUCAGGGUAUUUAUACCCAGGGCUUUAAAACAGCACCUGAGAUUUCUUGGCCAAAGAUUACACAAUUGAUAAGAGGAACAAUUUUCCAUUGGGUGCUGCCAGCUCUGACACAAACACAUCCCCUGCACCUCCAUCUGCCCAGGCCCCAGCACAGGGCACCAUCCUGAGCCCCCCUGGCUGCAGAACUCAGCUCACUUUAUUUUCAGCACCAGUUCCAUUGAGAAACAUCGUGUUUUUAAUUAUACUCUCAUGGUUUUUGCUGUCAUCACAAGGAAGUUGAACAGAAGAGGCUCCUUCAUCGUCACCUCUGCCUUAUCUCUGCCUUACCCAGCUGCUCCAUCAGCUCCUCCCCUAAACUCAACAGAUCACACUCACAGGCUACAGUUUCAGUCAGACACUCAGCUGCUUACACAGAUCUUCCCCUAAUUAACAAAUAAAUACUAUGAAACAAAGGUUUUUAAUAAAUAU
ensembl:lncRNA